CUAUGUACCAUAUAUUGGGUUUCCACAACUGGGCCUCAUGAAGAAUACUUGGGGGACUUAGCCCAUUAUUUAUGUAUUGAGGAGCAAGCCCUUAUUCUAUAAAAGGGAUUCCCUCACUUUCAUUAGAGAGCACCCAUUAUUCAUGUACUGAGAAGCGAGCCCUUAUUCUAUAAAAUGGACUCCCUCACUUUCAUUAAAGAGCACCAAUUAUUCAUGUACUGAGGAACGAUCCCUUAUUUUAUAAAAGGGACUCAUUCACCUUCAUUAGAGAGCAUCGCCGCCUACUGAGCAACCACCUUGCCGCGAGCAUCACUCCUAACCCAUCACUUAUGUAUUGAGGAGUGAGCCCUUAUUCUAUAAAAGGGACUCCCUCACCAUCAUUAGAGAGCAUCGCUGCCUAC
rnacentral:lncRNA from 1 species